rfam:Gossypium arboreum cultivar AKA8401 contig_50339_5, whole genome shotgun sequence.
CAUUAAAAAAUUAUCUAUUUUUACUGUUAAAAAUUGCUGGAGUUAACUAAACAACCAAACACUUAUGCCACAUAUACCCGAUGCUAAUGUAUAUGGAUCAAUUUUUAACUGUAAAAAUAGAUAAAUUUAUUAAUA